UUUUUAGUCCCUUAUGCAGAAAAUACUUUGCUUUUAGGAGCUCAGUGUUCUUCCUGAUUUGCUCUGUUUAUCUGAUCUUCUCUGCAUAGAAGUAUGGAUGUCUACCAGUCAGCAGACCACUCGUGUGAGAAGGUAAGACUUGAAAACCCAAGGACAGUUAUUCACCUUGGGCCCUUGAGCACUCCCAGAAGAGUUCUCCUCACUGAAGUGACUGGGCUUGCUCACCACAUUAGCAUGGGAGGAAUUAAUAUGGCAGGAAUUAAUAAAAUGAAUAGAAAUUAUAGGCAGCCCUUACUUCAAACAGAAAAGAGAGGUAGCCUAGAGGCGGCUCCAUUUCUUUUUCUACUUUUCUAGCUUUGUCCAUUCCAACAAUUUUGAUUUAUGUUUUUGAUUCCUCACCUCUUACCCCCAAAUCAGGUAAAUAAGUUGAUUUGUGCCAAUAUUGCUAUUUCAUGGGAAGAAAAGGCCAAUGCCUAUGACAAGGUUAUUAUACUUGUCUACCAGCAAAGCCAUUACAGGUAAUGUAUUUUAGAG
rnacentral:lncRNA from 1 species